rnacentral:lncRNA from 13 species
GCUGGAGUGCAGUGCCACGAUCUCAGCUCACUGAAGCACUGAUCUCCCAGGCUCAAGCAAUCGUCCCAGCUCAGCCCCAUGGAAGUAGCUGAGACUACAGGUACACACUACCAGGCCUGUCUAGUUUUUGUUUUUUGUAGAGACGGGGUUUUGCCACGUUGCCCAGGCUGGUCUCAAACUCCUGGAUUCAUGCAAUCAGCCUGCCUUGGCAUACCAGUGUGCUGGGAUUACAGGCAUGAGCCUCUCUGCACUGACCCACAGUGGGUUAUUUUUUAAGAGAAUUACCCAGGGCCAAAGGUUUAGGAACAAACAUUUAGCAAGAUGCAAUCAAAUCAGUCCCCUUCACCUGGCGAAAAAGCAGUAGUCAUGCUGUUGCCGGACUUUUCCCUAGUUCAGCUAAAGACGGGGUUCUUUUUCCCACAGCCAUGAAAAUUCAGGCUCGCAGACGAUUUGAAUGGCGAGUAAGACAGGGUUUAAUUGGGUGAAAAGGAAGAAAAGGAGGAAACAGUGACUCUCACUAGGCCAGAGUCCCUGCUAGGGCCCUUCCUAUUCAGCAGUUGGAAUCCCAGGUUCCCCAUAGAAGAGGUGGCGCCAGGCUCGGCGCUGCUGCAAACCUCGUGAACUUCCCGAGGCUCCACCUCAGUGGGCAGGCUGGUUGCAGCUUCUCCAGGGACCUCAUCCCACCUGGUUGUCUCAGUGCUGCGGCUACCUGUGUGAUGGGCUACAACAACUACUCAAAAUCGGGAGAAAGGUAGCUCUGCAACUUGGCAUCGUCUGCGGGAACGUGCAGGAAUGCUCAGGGCCUGUGCUGAACUAACUCUGCUUGCAGGUGCCCCUGGUGAUACGUGUUUGCAAGUCAUUGACACAAGUGAAGUUUCCACCAAGAUUCAGCUCAGACCUUGCUGUUGCAGGCUAAGAUCCUCAGCCCUCAGGUGUGGCCUUCACAUCUGGCAUCUUGUGUCUUCUCCUGAUCAGGGCCCCCAGGCACACAAUGAGGAGGAAUGAGGUGUCCUGGCAUCCUUCCAUCAUCUGAUCAGACUUGUAUUGUUCCUUGACGGAACUGCUGGCUAACUGCUGGCUAGCUGCUAGCAGUUCCUUUUAUGGUCUGUCUGCUUAUCUAGUUGUCGAUUAGAGGAAAUGUCUACAAGAAGAUACCAGGCAGAGGCCCUAUGAUUCUAUCCGUUUGCUGGCCCUGGGGGCUGGGAAGUUCACAAGGUCUCUUCAGACCAUUGAACCAACUUUGUCUUGACUCUCCAUUAAAAAUUAUACACAGAUACCCUCCUUAGUUUGUCUUUAUGUUCGUAUUUGUGUAAUUCUAUCUUCUUGGAAUCAGGAGGCCUGUCCACCCCACAUUUGGUGACCAUUAACCGUUGGCCAAUUUAUAAAGACACGAGUUACACAAACAUCAUUAUAGGGAACGUUGAAGUACUCACUGGGCCCUCUUAAUUAAAACCUGCUUACUUCCCUUAUGUUUUCACACUACGAUGUUAACUUGUAUGUUUCUCUAACUGGUACAGUUUUACCAGACACUAUUUGGGAUUACAAUACCCACUUUAGCUAUUUUUUAUAUAAAUAAGAUUGUUCAUAUGAGAGGUGCUUUAGAACAAUAAGUCAGGAAGCCUUCAUGAGGAAAUUUUGUUUGUCUAAUAAAGAGAGAGUAUUUCAUUUAACA